rnacentral:rRNA from 1 species
AUUGAACGCUGGCGGCAUGCCUUACACAUGCAAGUCGAACGGUAGAGGGGGCAACCUCUCGAGAGUGGCGAACGGGUGAGUGAUGCAUCGGAACGUGCCCAGUAGUGGGGGAUAGCCCGGCGAAAGCCGGAUUAAUACCGCAUGAGACCUACGGGUGAAAGGGGGGGAUCGCAAGACCUCUCGCUAUUGGAGCGGCCGAUGUCAGAUUAGGUAGUUGGUGGGGUAAAGGCCUACCAAGCCGACGAUCUGUAGCUGGUCUGAGAGGACGACCAGCCACACAGGGACUGAGACACGGCCCAGACUCCUACGGGAGGCAGCAGUGGGGAAUUUUGGACAAUGGGCGAAAGCCUGAUCCAGCCAUGCCGCGUGCGGGAAGAAGGCCUUCGGGUUGUAAACCGCUUUUGUCAGGGAAGAAAUACUUUGAGUUAAUACCUCGGGGGGAUGACGGUACCUGAAGAAUAAGCACCGGCUAACUACGUGCCAGCAGCCGCCGUAA